UAGUUAUGAUCUUGAAAUUUAAAAAUUUUGGCGGUAUUUUAGUCUAUUCAGAGGAACCUGUCCCAUAAUUGAUAGUCCACGGUAAGUUGUAUUUAAUUUAAAUUAAUUUGUAUAUCGUCGUUAUUAAGUAUUUUAUAAGAAUUAAAAUGUUUAAGAUUUAGAAUAAUAUAAAAUAUCAGAUCAAGGUGCAGUUUAUAAUUAAGAGGAGAUGGGUUACAAUAAGUUUAUUUAUACAGAUCUAUAUAUUAAAAUUUAUAGUGAAGGUGGAUUUGAUAGUAAUAUAAUUAGAAUUAAUUUUAUGAUUUUAGCUCUAAAAUGUGU
rnacentral:rRNA from 1 species